CAGAAGUUCAUGCGUCAUCGGCUCCUCUUUGGGAUUUACAAUUUUUAAGUGGAAGCCCACCUGUAAGAAGUAUUAGGCGUGACUCGACAAACUUCAUCCUUCUUCAACCAUCACCGAUUUCUCUUCAUUCAACCAGAAAAAAGAGGGCUAAGAAGCUGCUUCUGUUUCAAACCUUAGUCACCCUCGCCAAUGGCAAUAUUUUGUGGAUAUGGUGAAGUGGUAGAGAAGUUGAAAAUGAUGAGCAGAGUUCUUGAGACCACAUAAGUGUACGGAGCUCAAGGAAUGGUCGGUUUCACAACACUAGGAGAGAGGAACGUCUCCUUCACCGGGAGUUCUCAGCCAACAUGUCCUUUCCUUUGUCACAUUAAAAUCUUGGCACUUCGGGGCUUGUCUUUUGUUUCGUUGCGAUGUAAAAUGGCCCUAAACUUUUUUCUUUGUUCCGAUUUGCUGUUGAUGCACAUGAAAUAGUCGUUCUUUGAAGGAAAGUAUUGCCAUGUGUAUUUGUGUUCAAGGAAAGACAAAAAAGUACUGAGCUUGUCAGUUCUGUUAAAUGCUGAUACAAGACUUAACGGUUUUUUUUUUUCAUCGAUUCAAGAUGAUACUAAACAUCAAUCCCGUAUGAUGUACCAUAUUGUUAUGAAGAACCAUCUUUACAUUAUAUUGAUUUAUCAAGAUAAUUGCAUAUGUAUUUGAGGACA